rnacentral:rRNA from 2 species
AAUAGGUAUGCUUAGGGAGGAGCUUGCGUCACAUUAGUUAGUUGGUGGGGUAAAGGCCUACCAAGACUAUGAUGUGUAGCCGGGCUGAGAGGUUGAACGGCCACAUUGGGACUGAGACACGGCCCAAACUCCUACGGGAGGCAGCAGUAGGGAAUUUUCGGCAAUGGAGGAAACUCUGACCGAGCAACGCCGCGUGAACGAUGAAGUAUUUCGGUACGUAAAGUUCUUUUAUUAGGGAAGAAUAAAUGAUGGAAAAAUCAUUCUGACGGUACCUAAUGAAUAAGCCCCGGCUAACUAUGUGCCAGCAGCCGCGGUAAUACAUAGGGGGCAAGCGUUAUCCGGAAUUAUUGGGCGUAAAGGGUGCGUAGGCGGUUAAAUAAGUUUAUGGUCUAAGUGCAAUGCUUAACAUUGUGAUGCUAUAAAAACUGUUUAGCUAGAGUAAGAUAGAGGCAAGUGGAAUUCCAUGUGUAGUGGUAAAAUGCGUAAAUAUAUGGAGGAACACCAGUAGCGAAGGCGGCUUGCUGGGUCUUUACUGACGCUGAGGCACGAAAGCGUGGGGAGCAAACAGGAUUAGAUACCCUGGUAGUCCACGCCGUAAACGAUGAGUACUAAAUGUUGGGUAAAACCAGUGUUGAAGUUAACACAUUAAGUACUCCGCCUGAGUAGUACGUACGCAAGUAUGAAACUUAAAGGAAUUGACGGGACUCCGCACAAGCGGUGGAUCAUGUUGUUUAAUUCGAAGGUACCCGAAAAACCUCACCAGGUCUUGACAUGCUUCUGCAAAGCUGUAGAAACACAGUGGAGGUUAUCAGUUGCACAGGUGGUGCAUGGUUGUCGUCAGCUCGUGUCGUGAGAUGUUGGGUUAAGUCCCGCAACGAGCGCAACCCUUAUUGUUAGUUGCCAGCACGUAAUGGUGGGGACUUUAGCAAGACUGCCAGUGAUAAAUUGGAGGAAGGUGGGGACGACGUCAAAUCAUCAUGCCCCUUAUGACCUGGGCUACAAACGUGAUACAAUGGCUGUUACAAAGGGUAGCUGAAACGCAAGUUUUUGGCGAAUCUCAAAAAAACAGUCUCAGUUCGGAUUGAAGUCUGCAACUCGACUUCAUGAAGUGGAAUCGCUAGUAAUCGCG